GAUCUCUAUUUUCUAUGAGCAAAUAUCCUCUGCUUUUAGCUGCUUGGUCACCCAGUUUAUAUUACAGUGGGACGUGUUUUUGAAGAGUAUGAAUGUCCAUCUGUGGAAAUGGAGGCAGAUGGAGUGGUUUAUAAGCAUGGAGGCAAUUUUUCACUUAGAUAGAACACUGAGAAGUUAAUUCGGGAAAUGAGAGGUGUUUUGCUGAAUGUGGUCAUCUCAGUUUUAGAUUUAGUAGUACCCUGGGGUAACUGUGGCCGAUUGUCAUACCUAAAGUAACCCAAAGAUAAUGAAACUGAAAAUGAAGGACUUUUAUUCUUCAAUUCCCAGCUUCUCACUAACCUCUCCCUUGAAGUUUUAAAAUAUGUACCAAGAAUCCACUGGAGGCUACCACAGACAGGCCCAAAUUUAGGAGAGGACCCUCACUCAGAUGAAUAAGUGCAUGAACAAGGUGAAUCAGGAGAACUUCCCGUAGCCUCUGCUAAGCAGCCUUCUGCAGCUGAAAGAAGCUAAGGGGACUGGACAGUUAGGAAUGAUUAAUGAGAAGCAGGGUGAUGUGCUGUAACACAAGCUGAACAAUGAGAACAUUUAAUCUGGGGAGCUGAGGAAGUCAGUUGGUACUUGGAUAUAAUCUUUCUAAAAUAUGAAGGUCACAGAAAAAUAAAUCAGGCUCGUGAAUUUGUUUAACCUGUUACCUAAUAUGAGAGUGGGAACAUAACUGAAUUUGAAAACCACAAUCAUGUGAGGAGAAGAAAGUCCUGGGUAAGCCACGUCACAGAUGACUGCAUUUGAUGCCACAGGCAAUUGAGAAGAAAUCCAGAUCUCCCUGCUGAAUAUUCACAUCAGGGCCUCACAGAUGUGUGUUCCCAGCUCAGGCCUAAAUCCUGCAGAACACAUUCUUGAAGAGGUUGUUGGGCUCAGAAAGCAAAGCUGCCAAGCAGCUGCCAACUUCGGCAGCAAUUCCAGGCAGCCAACCCCAAACCCCAUUUAUUGGCAGGAAUCCAGCACAGGCCAUGACCACCCCUUGCCUCACACCUCCUUGUGGGAUUUACAGGUUGACUGGACACUGUAGGGAUGUAAGUAGCUAUGGCUUUCAGAGUGGGUUUGGCUCACCUGUGGCUCAAAGAAUCUGUAUUACCUGGAAACCUGUUAAGAAUGCACCACAUUCAGCCCUAGGGCCGGGCCUCCAGGCUACCACCUGCACUGGAUUUCUCCAUCUUUGGGUCUUUUAAAUCUCUCCAGUUGGCCAUGAUGGCAAGCAGUAACAGCAAGGUUCCCCAUUCUCCUCCACUGGCUCAUAAUAUAUCGGCUUCACCGAACAAUUGGUUUCCAUAUGAAUCUGGAUUUUUAUUCUGAACUCUAGUCAAUGGUUAGAUCUACCUGGCCAUUGCUGUUUUAAUUAUAGCAGUAUGUAGUAUAAUUUAUUAUAAUGAUGUAUAUAUUUGUAUAAUAUAAAAACAAAAUAAAAUAGAUAUAAAUAAUAUAAGUAUAUAAGUAUGUACUAUAACUAAUAAUACAGUAGUAUAGUACAUUUGUUACUUCAUUAUAAGUUUUAAUACAUCUUAGGAAAAGCCUCAUUUCUUUCUCGCUGUGUAUGUGUCUAUUUUAAAGGCUAAUUGUUAAAAAAAUUAUUUUAAUUACAAAAGAUUCUCUUGUGUUUCAGAGAAAACUUAAGUUUCCUAUCUACUCUCUCUACAUAUCUCCCACUUUUAUGUUACCUUUCUAUGCCUUUUGAUUUUCUUAUUCAAACAACAUAUACAUUUUUAAAAAUUGGAUCUAUUCUUACUAUUCUGAAACUUGCAUUUUUCACUUAAUGAUGUCCCACAGACAUAUUGGUACCUAUGCCAUCAUCCUCACUGCGUUGGAGAUCUCAGUAUCUCUUUUUCAACCGCUGUUUUCUUCCAGGGAUUUGUCAGGAAUCACGGCUGUAGUAGACACUCUUGCAUGUAUAUGCAUGUGUAUCUUUUGAUAGUGCUGCUUUUAUUUCUCCAAGAUGUAUUGUUCAAAAUGGAAUUACUGAAGCAAAAGGUGUUCAUCUUAAAUGCAUGGUUUGUUUCAUGGCAUAAGAGCAAAGGCCCGAUUUGAGCGAGAAAGCACACUGUGCUGGGACCUCAGCAACCCCGAGAGCCAGCAUUUCACCAUGACCUUGCCUAUGUAGGUCAAAGACAUGGCACUCAGCCUCUGGGGAGUGACUUUUUUCUUGAGCUGCCUGUGUUCCAUCCUCCUUAAGGUGCGUGUGGGUUCCUUCAUCCAGCAUGCACUUAUUGAGAACCUAGUAUGUGCAUGACUAUGCUAAGGAUUCCAAGCCUUACUUCCUUUCAAGUGUUAAUGUUUUAAGAGCAGAUAUUGCCUGCAGAGAGAGAACGUUCUUCACACGGACUCUCAGGAUGCAGGCCAUUUGCAGAACAAGCCUGUUUUUCUAGUCCUGUUUUGGCAUCAAUACAGCUUAUCAUUUCAUCCUUGUCAGCAGAUGCUUCCUAGCUGUGCAAAUAUAUUGCGAAAUAAAAAUAGGGUCCUGUUGAAAUGCCAAUAGUUGACAACAGAAGCCAUCUUCUUUCUGGACUUUUCUGGCAAAAUGUCGUCCAUGUUUGCUACCUGUUGCCCUUCAGGGGCCAUUUGGGAGAAACAACAGAAAUUCAGAUUCCCAGAAUGCUUCAUGUGCUUUGGCAACCACUGCCAAUAAGCAAGAGCAAAACAGGGCUGCUGGUAGUUUCCAUAUCCCAGGUGGUCUCUCCCACCCUGGAUGGCCACACCACUGUGCCCAGCAGCACAGAGCAAAUGAGCAGACAGUGUGGACCCGUAGAAAUAUUCUUACAACAAGGUAGGCUUUUGCAACUCUGGAGAUUGCUCCAAAUCCCAAUGAUGGAAACAAACAAACAAAAUCUAUAUGUCAUUAUCCAGUCUUGAGGUGCUGCCAGCAAAUCUGAGCUUCUAGGCAUCCUGAAUCUUGUAGCCAGUAAGGAGAUAUUUAGGAAGAGCCUGGGGAAACUGAAUGGUACAAACGAAAGGGGAGCGAAGCCACGAGGACACCCCUAUGUACAAGACAUCGCAACUCAGUCUCUUGCUCUCUCCCUCUCCCUCACUCUCAAUUCUGCUGUCCCUCACCUUCUCUCAUUUUGCUAGGACAUUCUCUCUUCCUUUUCCUCUUUCCAUCUCCACCCCAGAGGAACCCCGUUCUCCAUUUCUCAGCACUUUUCUAGAUAACAGAGUCUUCCGAAAGCUGGAGGAGGUGUGCUGUACACUGCAGUACCCGUGCGGUGUGGCUGUGCCCAGAAGGAAACUCUAGUACAACCAGGGGUCGCCUUGCCAUGGCCUCCAUGGAGAUGGGGGGCACAUCUAAAUGUCCCUGGAGAAGUAAGAGACACUGAUGCCUAUGGCUUACCAGAUGCUUGAGGACAAACUCUUCAAGCCAGGCCAGAUUUUCUUUCUGUUCCCGAAGGAAGGAUGCGACAGCAGACCCUGAGAGAAUCCUUCAUUCUAUUGCAGCUUGAUCAAAAACAGAAUGACUCAAAGGAAAAAGUGAAGAAAAUUCCUCAAGUCACAGUUUAAGUAGUCUGGACCAGAAAGCUGCCACUCAGCUUGGAGAAGGAGGAGCUUUCAGCACUCACAGAGAGGUCCUAGGGAUGAGUCACACAUCAGCCUUUCGGGUGUCCUGCUGGGGAUUCAUUCUACAACCAAAUAGCAUGCUUGCUCAAAAGUGCCACCGAAGCUGACCGUCCUAUAAACACCACGUUUGUUGUAUGCUUCUCCUAUGAUUGUGGUUCUUUUGUGGUUCUGGGAGUGGCACUGUCCCUAACAGGGUGUUUGGACAGCCUGAGGCUGCUGUUGCCACUUCUUGGAAGGGACUAUACUGGAUAUCCUACAAUGUGCAAGACAGUCCCUAACAAUGAAGGAUUUGUUCCAGUUCCUAUGCCUCUCAAACGCCCUACUGAACUAAAUAUACUACAAAUAAAAAUCUAUAGUGGCUGGAUGCAGUGGCUCAUGCCUGUAACCCCAGCACUUUGGGAGGCCGAGGCAGGCGGAUCACUUGAGGUGAUGGGUUCAA